rnacentral:tRNA from 2 species
GAUCGCGUAGCUCAGUUUGGUAGAGCACCUGACUUUUAAUCAGGCGGUCUUGGGUUCGAGUCCCAACGCGAUCA